UCUGUUUUGUUUGCCUUUUUUUCAGCCAAUCUAACAAUAACCCCGGACCCAAUUUCUGUUUCUGAGGGACAAAACUUUUCUAUAAAAUGCAUCAGUGAUGUGAGUAACUAUGAUGAGGUUUAUUGGAACACUUCUGCUGGAAUUAAAAUAUACCAAAGAUUUUAUACCACGAGGAGGUAUCUUGAUGGAGCAGAAUCAGUACUGACAGUCAAGACCUCCCAUGAAUCUUUGUUACCUUCUAUUUUGCUAUGUGGCUAGUGGUUCAUUGGUUUAUGGUACAAUCUUGGGAGUUUGCAAUGGUGGAGCCUUUUUUUUUAAUUGGGAGAAGUUGAAGAAAGUAUUGAGAUACCUUCUAAUGAAUAUGGCAGACUAGAUAUUCUGACAAUCUUUUCCUCCAUGCUAUAAAGUUGCAUGCCACAAAACUGCCAUGAAAAUCCCUUUAAAUGCAUAAUUGAGCAUGUAAGAAAGUAUGAGAAACAACCAAGUGCCAAAAAAGUAGAGGAAAAUAAAAUAGAAAUGAUGCUUUAACUAAUGCUGGAGCUUUCCUAUGGGCUUUUGCCAAUAUCAGAAACCCAGAACCUUGGGUUUUAAGGCUCCAGAGGGCAUAAAAGUAAAGACUGUGCUCCCUAAACACACAAUGGGUCACUCACACCCCAUUGACACAAUGUUAAGACCUUCAAAAAGUGGCACAUUCAGUAAGAGACUAAGCUAGGAAAACAAAAUUCAUCUGCCAGAGUUGAGACCUUGGCCUCAUCUCUGGG
rnacentral:lncRNA from 1 species